rnacentral:rRNA from 1 species
UACGAAGGGGGCUAGCGUUGUUCGGAAUUACUGGGCGUAAAGCGUAUGCAGGCGGAUUGUUAAGUCAGGGGUGAAAUCCUGAGGCUCAACCUCAGAACUGCCUUUGAUACUGGCAAUCUUGAGUCCGGGAGAGGUUAGUGGAACUGCGAGUGUAGAGGUGAAAUUCGUAGAUAUUCGCAAGAACACCAGUGGCGAAGGCGGCUAACUGGCCCGGUACUGACGCUGAGAUACGAAAGCGUGGGGAGCAAACAGG